rnacentral:lncRNA from 1 species
UUUUUAGGAGAUGUUAAGUAGAUGAAAGACCAAGAAAAGCGAGGGAGAAAAUUCAAUAUAUUUGAGAACAAAGGCAGCCAUUAACCUGUCCAUCUUCAGAACCUGAAUCGGUAGCCAAAUCUCAGCAGACAGAGCUACGUAAUGCCAGAUAAAUCUUCUUGCUGAAUGAGAGACCCAUCCUACCAGCAUAAACAACAUUUGAACACUCUAGCCCCCAGCCUUACCAGCCAGCUCUCCAUUCUCUACACACAGAGUCUUUGUUGGGACACUCCAGGCCAGUUAUUUCACCAUCCUGAGUCUGGUCCCUCUCUGAGGCCCAGGGACAUAUAUUCAGUUCAGGUUUGAAUUAAGGAAAGAUACUACUACCUUGAUGGGGGAUCAGGACCACAGGACCAAAUUGAACCAGGCAAGACUGAAGGGGCCAAGGGAUAGAGGAUCCCCCUCCCGAAGGAGCCAACUGGAAGGCAACAAUUGGAUGGCCUGUUAAAGAAGAAAGAAGCUUAGGACAGGGAGAAUGCCACUUUCCAGUAUUACAAAAAUAUCCUUUAGGCAAGGAAAACUCAAGAUGCCAGAGAUCCCUGACACCUGGCUCAUAUGGUAGGCUGCGUGAUGAUGGAGCCGAGAGCUGAACCGCCCAAGGACAGAGGGCCUCAGCAGGAACUUUGGGAAUCAGCAUAUUGAUACCUAAGUGGAGACCUCUUUCCAGACCCAGAAACUGGAGCAUGCAAGGCCUUGGGGAAAUGACCAGCAAGUUCAUAGCCCAAGGUUUCUCUGACUGGUUGGAGAGUCUAAUGUAUUCCGUCAUGCCGUCUAAUUCAGAGUCUCCUUGCUUUGACUGUCUGUCUCCUGCUUCUGUUGGCUCUUGCUCAAGAUGUGAAAAGUCAUUGGAGAUGCUUA